rnacentral:snRNA from 1 species
UAACUCUGGUUUCCCUUCAAAACGCAUAAAUCUUUCGCCUUUUACUAAAGAUUUCCGUGGAGGGGAACACUCAAAUGAGCAGGGUCUGUCAAGUUUGUUCUACGAAUUGCAUUAAGGUGGG